AAUUAAGAGAGUUUGAUUCUGGCUCAGGAUGAACGCUGGCGGCGUGGAUAAGGCAUGCAAGUCAAACGGGCUCUGUAGCAAUACAGAGUACAGUGGCGAACGAGUUAGUAACACCUUGGUAUCUGCCCUGAAGUCGGGUAUAACUCCGCGAAAGCGGAGCUAAUCCCCGAUACGAAGCAAUUUGAAAGGCGCAAGCCGCUUCAGGAGGAACCUAGGUCCUAUCAGCUUGUUGGCGGGGUAACGGCCCACCAAGGCUAUGACGGGUAGGGGGCGUGAGAGCGCGUUCCUCAACGAUGACACUGAGAUACGGGUCAUACACCUACGGGUGGCAGCAGUCAAGAACAUUCGACAAUGGGCGAAAGCCUGAUCGAGCGACGCCGCGUGCAGGAAGAAGGGCUUCGGCCUGUAAACUGCUUUUGUCAGGGAAGAACUUUGACGGUACCUGAAGAAUAAGGGGUUGCUAACUCUGUGCCAGCAGCAGCGGUAAUACAGAGACCCCGAGCGUUAUCCGGAAUUACUGGGCGUAAAGCGUGAGCAUCCGGUUUUGCUAGUCCCAUGUUAAAUCUCAUUGCCCAACGAUGAGACCGCGUGGGAAACGGCAAGACUAGAGCGGGUAAGAGGCAGACGGAACGUGCAGUGUAGGGGUGAAAUCCAUUGAUAUUGCACGGAACACCAAAAGCGAAAGCAGUCUGCUAGUGCUCUGCUGACGGUCAAUCACUAAAGCGUGGGGAUCAAAAAGGAUUAGAUACCCUUGUAGUCCACGCCCUAAACGAUACACACUAGCUAUUGGGAGCAUCGACCCUUCCAGUGGCGAAGCU
rfam:Parcubacteria bacterium GW2011_GWA1_49_11 TY36_C0010, whole genome shotgun sequence.